CUACCAAGCCACCUGGGAAACUGGUUUCCCCGCCGACACCCUGCCACUGGGGGCCCAAAUGCCCACACGGGGGCCACCCCUGGCUCGCCCACCGCCUCCAGGAGGUCUGUGAAACCUCCGUGCAGCCGCGAGGACUUUGGAUCUGGAUCGCCGGCGACUGUGGCUGAAAACGCCUCCUCGGGCUCCGGCUGCUCCCCCAGUGGCAGGAAAGAACGCGCCAAGCGUUUCCCCGAGGUGUUCCCUGUCACUGAGAGGAUGGCAGCACCCCCGAACUCUUCUCCUCCUCCAUCAGCCACCUACCUCCCACAAGUCCCACCUAAGACAAGGAAGCUGCACGUGCUGUGAGCGGUAACAAAGGAAAGGAGAGAAACUGAAGCUGUGUGGAACCCAUUUUGGUGAAAGCUUUGUUGUCCAUCGAACUGCCCAACUGAAUUAUAUGAAAAAGUAAAGGCAGAAUCAGCUACAUAAUUUUCAGGAUGCAGUGCAAUGUGAAAUGUUGGUCCCUUCCUCAAAAAUCAUUAUGCAUUUCAAGUUGGUAACAGCAGAGCAUUAAAUCAGUUACAGAGUACCUCUGCACACAGGGCCUAUGUGACUACACAGGUUGCACAUCCAUGAAGCCAGUUCCAAGAGUGCAUAAUUUAAAAGCACACUGAGCUUGGGAAGAAACCUACCAUCACAACAACAAAAUAUGGGUAUCAAAGCCCUUGUGGUUUGGCCUUUAACAUCUUUAACCCGCAUUGUUACAGUUGGAGUUCAGCUACUUCAUGCUCUGCCUAAGGUUUGGGCUUGCGUCUCCUCUCCAUGAAUAUUCCUGGGCUUGGUCCAAGGGGUACUGGCUAUCCUGCACAUACUUUUCUCAAGGCAAUGAAGAGAGCAAAAGGCUUGAACCUGAAGUGGAUUCUAAGGAGAAACACACUAUAUCUUUGCCACUGUAACAUGUUAACUCCAGGAGUCCAUGAGUUAUUGAGAAAUUUCAGAGAAGACAUUUCCUGUCUAAGUCACCCUCAUGAACCAGCUCUGGAAAUAGCAGCCUUUCAUACAUGAAGGACAGAUUGUCGAGUCUUGGAGCAAAGGAAUCAGAAAAUGAAAUGAGUAAAUAUGCAAUUCUGUUUACAUUCUUCAUCUCAACAAUAAAGAAAAAAUCAAUA